UGAGGAGUCCCACAAUAGGACGAAACGGCCGUCCAGUGC
rfam:Schistosoma mattheei strain Denwood, Zambia genome assembly, scaffold: SMTD_scaffold0014360